GAAAAUGUGACUGAAGCAGAUACUGGAGCCCAGGCCAGCAGGGGCUUGAAACUAUAGAGCAAGGAAGGCAACUUCAGAUUCAGAAGACAGCUUGCUCACCCUGUCAGCUGCUGGAAGCAUGUGGGAGAGGCCUUCCGGAGGCCAGGCCCACCUUUGUUGCCUAAGAGGACAAAUAAAUUGGAAAGAACUAACCGUAAGUGUACUUGGACCGCAAAGAACCUCAAGGUUGGCAUGGGCUGGAGAAGUCAGUGAAAGCUUUGUUCACUGAUGACAGAGACAUUUGAGCACCUCCUAAAUGCUAGGCACUGUGCUACAGGUUCCGAGUAUCAAAAUCAACAUGGUGCCUGCUCUUGGGAAGCUUCUAGUGAAGUAGCUUUGAAAGAAAAUAAUUUCUAACCAUCAACUGCGAUAAGAAUCAGGAAGGAAAGUAACAGGGUGCUACGAAAGACGGGAACGGAUUCUGAUUUGGGGAGACGUCAGGGAUGACCUCCCAGAGGAAGCAGCCUUGAAGCUGAAACCUGUAGGAAAAUCGGGGUUAGCUACAUGCGGGCUGUGGGGAGAGUCCCCCAGGCUGAAGGUACAGCAGUGCAAGGCGUUGAGGAGUGGAAAAGGCUGGCGUGUUCAGAAACUGAGCACCUGUGUCUGGGGCACGGUGAGGAAGGAGUGAUGAGGUCAGAGAGGCCUUGGAAGCCAUGGUCAAGAUUUGGGAUUUUAUCUUAAGAAACUGGAUGCCACCGAAGGGUAUUAAGCAAGGACAAAAAACCAAACACCGCAUGUUCUCACUCACAGGUGAGAACUGAACAAUGAGAAC